UCCCUGUAGCGCAAUGGAUAACGCAUUAGAUUUCUAAUCUAAAGGUCGUAGUUUCGAAUCCCACUUGGAAAG